GUAGCAGCAAGGGACUCGCAAUGCAGGAUAACAUCAGCCCAUGAGAUAAACAGGGUUUCAGAUGCAGAAAAUCUCCUGGGCACUCUUCAGGUCGAAACUAUCCAAGUCCUUGUGGAGGUCUAUGAGGUUUCUCUGGACAUCAGCAUUUCUAAAGCUGCUAGAGUGGAUCACAUCCAGUUUGGGGACUGUCACGUUGGGACGCCAUACUCCGUGACCUUCACCAUCACCAAUCGCAGCAGAGUGGUGGAGAUGCAGUUUGAGUAGCUGGCAGCCUCCCUGUUUCACUUCUCCCCCGAGGUGCGACACCUCCCUGCUGGCUGUGCCAAGGACAUCACAGUAACCUUGGAAUCAAAUGUUCCAGUCACAUUCAGAGCGCACCCUGUAAAGUGUCAGGUGACCAGGAUUGCCUUCCAGCUGCCAGCAGAGGAGGUGACUGACUGGGAUGAGCAUCUGCACACUGUAAAGGGGAUGGAUAACACGAGGGACCCAGCAGCCGCGUGCCUUGUCGAGGAGAAGGACCUUCAUGGUUAUGAACCCAACCAGUUCUACAUAUUCCUUCCAGUGGACUUGCCGAGACCCUGAAGCCCCAUUGAGACAGGCAGCCGCCUUCUGCCUCACAGAGAGAGGUCAGAUCCAGCC